UACAUCUUUUGAGAUAGAAACCCGCUGGUCCGUCUCUAUGAAAAUUUUACCAGUUUUUUGAUUAAAUCGUCUUUGAUUUGUAGAAUCACGUGCAAUCAUAAGAUACUACGCAGAAAAAUACAAAUCACAAGGGACUAAUUUGGUGGGAAGCAAUGGCUGGAAGUUGAAGCACACAACUUGCACCCACUAAUCUACAACUUGGUCCUUCAUAUUCUGUUUGCCUCAGUUUUGGGUUUUCCUUCAGACUCCAAGAUCAUUCAAGAAAGUGAGGAAAAGCUGGGAAAAGUGCUGGAUAUUUACGAGGAGCGGCUGUCGAAGAGCAAGUACUUGGCCGGUGAUUUCUUCAGCCUUGCUGAUCUUAGCCACCUUCCAUUCACUUACUACUUGGGGGCUCAUAUGGGGAAGGAGUAUAUGAUUAGGGACAGAAAGCAUGUCUCUGCUUGGUGGGAUGACAUUAGCAACAGACCAUCUUGGAAGAGGGUUCUCCACUUUGGUGCUACAAGAAAAAGGCCCUUCUGCGGCACUUUUUUUGCGACAGAUAACAUGGCCAUCGCAAACAAAAGAAAAUUUGAACGCUAAAUGUUAGCUCAAAAGUAUUUCCGACUCUUGUAUAAGUAACGUCGCAAAUAAUGUUUCAAAUAACAUUAUAAACGACGUUGAGAAAAGUUUGUGACACCCUAAACGAUAGAAUAAAAUAUAACGCCUAAAUUUUUUAAUUUUUCGAUUUGGCGCUUUAUUUUUCGAUGAAAACAAUCCAACGCGGCUUCAUUUUCAUUCUCUAGAAUCAUCCUUCUCUCUCUGCACCUUUUCCACUUUCCUAUUCGACCGAAAAAUAAGAGGCCUAAUCUAUCCAAUAAGAGAUUUUGGGGGAAUCAUCGGAAACUUUUUAGCAAAAUUGGAGAUCCCGGAGCACAAUCGGAGAUUUUCCAUCCGAGCCUGAGCGCCGUUGUUGGUGUGCAAGGCUUCGUGCGAGGCGCUGCAGCAGCUGAGGCAGGUGAUGAUGUACAUGCGGUGGAGGAAGCGGUUCAAGCACGGUUGCGGAUGAGUCAGUCCGAAUAUGAACAAGGCGCUCGACGCGUUUCUGAGGGGUGCGGCUUCUAGGUCCCCCAUGGCUAUGGUGGACACCAGGCUCAUAUACUGGGGAGGGGUUUGAAGGAGAAGGUCAUUGCUUUGUAUCAGAAAGCUGCGAAAUUGGGAGAUCAUGCUGGGCAGUGGAAUUUGAGAAUUUUCUAUUUGCAAGGUAUUAAUUUUACCAAUUAUCUUCUAUUUUAGUAUUUAAAUUAUGAAAAUAUGUGAUAGAAUUUGAUUAUUAUGGAACUGAAAUUUGCUAGUAUAAAUCUGUUUGCGAUUGUACUUCUUUCAAUCAGUGCAUUAGUUUGAUUAUAUUGAGAAAACUAGUUGUCCUUAAGUUGGGUAGAACGGCAAAAUAGGGUAAAUGUUAGUGUACUGCUGUUGGGAUUAGGAAAAUUGAUUUUGAACAGUUAGAACAUUUGGACCAGAAAGAAGUUUGGGGGAAAUUGAAUUCAUUUAGUUAGUGCUUGGGUAGAAUGCUCUUUUCUUCAUUGUGAAAAUAUGAUCAAUUUUUGGUCACAGAGUUGGAUGAAAUGUGUAAUUUCAACUAGGUUUCCAAUUCAUUCAGGGUAUGGUGGAGAGUUUUGUUAAUCACACUGCUUCGAGGAUGUCUCUGUGUAUAGUACCGUCCAAGGUCCCAAAGAUAAAUUAUAUUCAAAACAUAUGAAUAUUCUUAUAUUUGGAUAUGUUUUUUUUCUUGUGUUGUGGUGAUGGUAAUGAAAGUUGAGCUCUCAAAUCAUUAGGAUUUGUAUGCAAUGGACAUGUUUGACAUUCUGGUUAGCCAUUUUUCUUGCUAGUUUAAUUCUACAAGUACCAAUUUUCCUGAUA